rnacentral:tRNA from 1 species
GUUAAAGUAGUUUAAAAAAAACAUUGGUCUUGUAAAUCAAUAUUGGGUCAUACUGUACCCCUAUAACU